rnacentral:rRNA from 1 species
UACGUAGGGUGCGAGCGUUGUCCGGAAUUAUUGGGCGUAAAGAGCUCGUAGGCGGUUCGUCGCGUCGAAUGUGAAAACCCGGGGCUCAACUCCGGGCUUGCAUUCGAUACGGGCGGACUAGAGUUCGGUAGGGGAGACUGGAAUUCCUGGUGUAGCGGUGAAAUGCGCAGAUAUCAGGAGGAACACCGGUGGCGAAGGCGGGACUCUGGGCCGAUACUGACGCUGAGGAGCGAAAGCGUGGGGAGCGAACAGG